rnacentral:rRNA from 1 species
AGCGAACGCUGGCGGCAGGCUUAAUACAUGCAAGUCGAGCGGGCGUAGCAAUACGUCAGCGGCAGACGGGUGAGUAACGCGUGGGAACGUGCCCUUUGGUUCGGAACAACACAGGGAAACUUGUGCUAAUACCGGAUAAGCCCUUACGGGGAAAGAUUUAUCGCCGAAGGAUCGGCCCGCGUCUGAUUAGCUAGUUGGUGAGGUAAUGGCUCACCAAGGCGACGAUCAGUAGCUGGUCUGAGAGGAUGAUCAGCCACACUGGGACUGAGACACGGCCCAGACUCCUACGGGAGGCAGCAGUAGGGAAUAUUGGACAAUGGGGGCAACCCUGAUCCAGCCAUGCCGCGUGAGUGAUGAAGGCCUUAGGGUUGUAAGGCUCUUUUGUGCGGGAAGAUAAUGACGGUACCGCAAGAAUAAGCCCCGGCUAACUUCGUGCCAGCCGCCGCAGUAACAC